ensembl:lncRNA novel transcript
GCACCUCCCCGGCCGCUGGGGCGCGGUACGCCCGGCGACUAGCGCCACCAGUGAAAAGAAUGUAAGGUCACAUAGCCUGUACCAUUUCAGGGAGGCAUUGUCUAACCUGGAGCCAUGAGCCUUUUUGAAAUAAUAAUAUUGUCGACCCCCAGUUGUAUGUGCCCAAGGAGAUGGCAAACUUGAGAAACAAGAAUAAUCCUUUCAGCUGGUUUAAAGCUGAGCCCUCACUCUUGGAAUUAAGAAACUGACAAAGGAUGCAAGUUCUUGGUUUAAGGAGCCAAUGGUGUGGUUCCCAGGGACCCUCCCAAAUACACUUCCAAUCUGUUUCUGGAGGACCUGACCUGUAACUCCUGACAAUAUGUUCUGAAUGCUGAAGGAUGGAGAUACACUUUGGAGUAAGAUUCAUAUGAACUUUCAUAAAUUCUUGGGCCAAUGGACUCAAGCCCCUCAUUCAAAGAAAACACCAGAAGAGACUUGGUGUUUUGUGAAAUGGCACAUUCCAAAAUCUCUGUCACUGAGAAAAGGAUGUAAGCUCAGGAUCAAAGCAUCGUCUUCAAAGAAGGGAGACAAGGGAGGAAUGUGUUUUGCUGUUUUGGAUUUCAAGAAAUGAAACAGAAACAAGAGCUGGUUUCUUGAUAACUUUGUUCUUCUACGCUAUGGUCUGUAGAAUGAUACAGUUUCUAGUUUAAUUGGUCUGUGACCUGCAGACCCCUGUGUAAGACUCUUCCAGCUUUGAACAUACCAAAGAAAAUUUUAAAAGAAGAGGGGAGAAAAAAGGAGAAAAGUCUGCAUAUUGGGGAGGGUGUGCCUGAAUUUUAAGAUAAUCCCACAAAGCCAAACUCAAGAGUGCACAGAAGCAUCACAUUUAGAAAGUGUGAAAGAGCUGGAUGAAGCUCAAGAAUGAUCGACAUAUCCCUUUCUGAACUACCAUAUGCACAUGUUAAGAGGCUCAAACUUGGCCAGGCACAGUGGCUCACGCCUGUAAUCCCAGCACUUUGGGAGGCCGAGGCGGGUGGAUCACGACGUCGGGAGUUCAAGACCAGCCUGGCCAAGAUGGUGAAACCCCAUCUCUACUAAAAACCCCAAAAAAUUAGCUGGGUGUGGUGGUGGGCACCUGCAAUCCCAGCUACUCGGGAGGCUGAAGCAGAGAAUUGCUUGAACUCAGGAGGCGGACGUUGCAGUGAGCUGAGAUCGUGCCACUGCACUCCAGCCUGGGCGACAGAGCGAGACUACAUCUCAAAAAUAAUAAUAAUAAAAAAAAAGAAAGAGGCUCAAACUUGUCUUUUAAAAAGUGAAGUGCCUUGCCUUGUCCUACACCGUGGCCUCUCCUUGGACACAAACAGGCAGGGAGUGUUUAAGAUAACAGCAUUGCAGAGUGCAAACGGCCCCCAAAGUGGAGCCAGAGGAACCUAUGAGAUCAUUUGGAAAAGCUUGUGAAUUCACUGCCAUUUGCCUACUUGGCUUCGGAUGAAAAGCAAAUCUUAAAGCUGCUCAAAAUGUGUCUGAUUCAUCUGUAACUGAGAAUGAGACCAAUCAGGGAUAAGAAGUGAGUAAAAUCCUUGUGAUCACAGAGCCAAGAGAGCCUAUUUUAAAGCACUUAAUGUAUUUUUUUUCUUAAAGAUAUAUACACCAACUGUAAUUAAGCUCUCCCUUUCCUUAUGAUCUUGGCAAGAUGUUAAAAAAGAGAUAGAGGGAGGGAGUCGACUUGCCAAGUGGAUUUUUCUAAGCGUUCUCAGCCCUAAUUAAAAGUCCUUUGUGCAAGGCCAACCAGCAAUCAGAUUCCUAAUUAGAGUUGAGCAAACUGCCUUGGUGAACUGUGGGUUUCUCUGAACCCGGGAAUCUGAGGAAAAAGUCUGUCUGUCUCAAAGGUGCCAUUUUCUGAAGCACAAACACACCCAAAUCCUAAAAGGCAUGUCUCACAAGGGCAAUGUCACAACCUUAAUACUGUUGGUCGAUUACUGUUUUUGCCUUGAAACGGCUCCGCAGCAUCCUAUAUAUUGCGUUGUUACGUCUGUUUUGCUGUUUGUUACGGUAUUAUGAUGAAAUGGCGCCUUAUUAAAAACCUGUCUUCAGGAUCUGGAAUUCUGGGACUUGAGAUUUAAGUGUAUUAAAUGCCAGGAAUUCAUGGUUUAUGUCCAGAAAAAGAAGACCAUUCUGCCAUUAACUGGAUUUCCCCUGGAGUCUUGGGAAUCAUAAUAGUGUGUACACAAGUGCUUACCACAUGCGAACACAGCUCUAAGAACUCUAUAAAUACGAAUGCAUUCACCUCUCACGAGGAUGCCAUGAGGCAGGCUCUAUUAUCUCCCCUGUUUCACAGGGAGGAAACUGAGGCAAAGAGAAGUUAAGGCGGUAUCUCAAAGUCACAUUAGAAAGUGAUAAAGCCAAGAUUGACCUGCAGUCAGUCACAUUCCAGAGCCUCUGCUCUUACCUCCCAGCACUGGAGCCAUGGCGUUGGACCCCCGGUCCCCGGGCCUCAUGCCCCGGUCCCCAAGCCUCAUGCCCCGGGUCAGAGCAUCCACACAGCAGUGCAGCUGGGAGCAUGGCUCCAUCUCCUAUGUAGCCCCUGGAUUUCUUCCUGAUUACUAGGUAGGGUUUUCCAAGAUCCACAUUUCAAAUUGAGAACUUCUGAAAUGUAGGCCUUCAAUAAAG